rnacentral:rRNA from 1 species
CCAAUAGCGUAUAUUAAAGUUGUUGCAGUUAAAAAGCUCGUAGUUGAAUUUCGGGGUUAGUAGGUUGGUCAUUCCUCCGGUAUGUACUGGUCUCACUGAUUCCUCCUUCCUGAUGAACCGUAAUGCCAUUAAUUUGGUGUUUCGGGGAAUUUGGACUGUUACUUUGAAAAAAUUAGAGUUUUUAAAGCAAGCUAACGCUUGACUACAUUAGCAUGGAAUAAUGAAAUAGGACGUUCGAUCCUAUUUUGUUGGUUUCUAGGAUUGACGUAAUGAUUAAUAGGGAUGGUUGGGGGCAUUAGUAUUCAAUUGUCAGAGGUGAAAUUCUUGGAUUUAUUGAAGACUAACUACUGCGAAAGCAUUUGCCAAGGAUGUUUUCAUUAAUCAAGAACGAAAGUUAGGGGAGCGAAGACGAUCAGAUACCGUCGUAGUCUUAACCAUAAACUAUGCCGACUAGGGAUCGGAUGAUGUUAAUUUUUUAAUGACUCAUUCGGCGCCUUACG